GGAGAAGCAUGGCUGAAGUUUGUUAGUAUAGUAACAACUUUAGCUAUUUCAAAUCUGAAUUUUUCUGCAAAACUUUCAUAGGUACAGGAACUAUGCAGAAAUUUAGUAUGGAUGUGUAUAGCACUAGUUGGUAGAUCAGGAAAGAAAUUUUAACUUAUCCUUCUUUGUCACUUCAACUUUUGCUAUGCAAUUUUUCUGUUGCAAUUUAACUUCUACCACCUUUAAAAAAGGGUGAGCAAUUGUAUAGAGGAAAUGUUCCUUUGAAGUGUUUCCCUUCUCUUUUUUUUUCAAUACAUACUCCUCUCCCUCUUUUUCUGAAUCCAAAUUCAUCUACUGUAGCCUCUAUGAGAAGCUAUGCAAUAGGAAAUAUAUAGAUUUGGGUCAGGGACAGACAAGGACAAUUUCAGAGCCUGUAUGACUUUUUUCCAGUAUGAAUCUCCAGGCUUUCAGGAGCAACAUUGUUUGCACUCACUGUUCAAGUUUUUGCUAUUGGUGUCCAGGUGCAUGAUGAAGCACAGAAGAGAGUGAUUGUGAGUACUCACAAUUAAGUGAGUGUAUAUAAAAUUCAAUAUGAGCACUGUCAUGCAGAAAAGAUACUUGGCCAGUAUUGAGUUGAAAAAAUCAUGCAGAGGAGUGUUGAAGAGAAGACAUGUUAUUCACUACUUAUUAUCUGUUAAGAAAACUGUGAAAAGCUUAAAGGCCCAGAAGGCAGCAUCUCCUCCAGCUUUCAGGGUUCCCCACUAUUCCUCUGAGAGCUUCAAAGAAGAGCUUUGCAUUCAAAACCAGGAAUUUGGCAUAAAAAGAAGAUGGAACACAUGAGGCAGAGGUGGUCAUAGUAUGUCAGUUGUCAGAUGAGGAAGGAUGAUAAAGUUAAAUCUCUUCUCCUGAAUUUGUUCUGCUGUAACAGACUGAUGCCUGAGCAGGUGUUGAGGAAUGAUUGCUUCCUCACAGUUGAUGUGAUUCCAGUUUCACUGCACCCAGGUGAAGAGUAUGAGCUGCAUAAAAAACAAAAUCUGAGACAACACAUUGAAAAAAAAGUGAUUAACCAUGGAGAAUGGAGCAAACCCUACUCAAUAGAGGAAAACUUUUCCAUAAAGUGUUUGAAACUUCUGAUUUGAAAUCAUUGACCUGA